AUUGAACGCUGGCGGCAGGCUUAACACAUGCAAGUCGAACGAGUGGCGGACGGGUGAGUAAUGCUUGGGAAUCUAGCUUAUGGAGGGGGAUAACUACGGGAAACUGUAGCUAAUACCGCGUACCAUAGUAUGAGCCCAAGGGGGAUUAGGUAGUUGGUGAGGGAAAGGCUCACCAAGCAGACGAUCUCUAGCGGGGAUGCGAGGAUGAACCACCCCACGUGGACUGGGACCCUGUCCAGGACCCUUCGGGAGGGAGGAGUUGGGAAUAUUGCGGAAUUGGGGCAAACCGACGCAGCCCUGGCGGGGUGAUGAAGAAGGCCUUUGGGGUUGAAAGUUCUUUCGGUAGCGAGGCGUUAACUACAGAAGAAGCACCGGCUAACUCCGUGCCAGCAGCCGCGGUAAUUC
rnacentral:rRNA from 1 species